AACGUAGGACGCAAGCGUUAUCCGGAGUUACUGGGCGUAAAGCGCGGGCAGGCGGUCUGACAAGUCUGAUGUGAGAUCACCCAGCUUAACUGGGCGAGGCCAUUGGAAACUGACAGGCUGGAGGGCAGUAGAGGCAGGCGGAAUUCCGGGUGGAGUGGUGAAAUGCGUAGAGAUCCGGAGGAACACCAGAGGCGAAGGCGGCCUGCUGGGCUGCACCUGACGCUGAGCCGCGAAAGCCAGGGGAGCGAACGGG
rnacentral:rRNA from 1 species